rnacentral:tRNA from 1 species
GCCCCCAUAGCUCAGCAGGAUAGAGCACUGGCCUCCUAAGCCGGAGGUGCCCGUUCGAAUCGGGCUGGGGGCA